rnacentral:rRNA from 1 species
UUGAACGCUGGCGGCAUGCUUUACACAUGCAAGUCGAGCGGCAGCGCGGGGGCAACCCUGGCGGCGAGCGGCGAACGGGUGAGUAACAUAUCGGAACGUACCCAGACGUGGGGGAUAACACAUCGAAAGAUGUGCUAAUACCGCAUACGACCUGAGGGGGAAAGGGGGGGAUCGCAAGACCUCUCGCUUUUGGAGCGGCCGAUAUCGGAUUAGCUAGUUGGUGAGGUAAAGGCUCACCAAGGCGACGAUCCGUAGCUGGUCUGAGAGGACGACCAGCCACACUGGGACUGAGACACGGUCCAGACUCCUACGGGAGGCAGCAGUGGGGAAUUUUGGACAAUGGGGGCAACCCUGAUCCAGCCAUUCCGCGUGAGUGAAGAAGGCCUUCGGGUUGUAAAGCUCUUUCGGCGGGAACGAAACGGUGACGACUAAUACUAGUCACUAAUGACGGUACCUGAAGAAGAAGCACCGGCUAACUACGU